UUGGACAGCCCCAACAUCAACAUCUUUUCUCUCUCAGAGGACUAAGGCUGAGAAAGAAUGUCCACCAUUAAUAGCCCCCACUCUAACCUCAAAAUCCGUGUCAUGUAACUCGCCAAGACAAAAAUCUAACGGUUCCAAACCUCAAGCAUUUCAUACACCAAACCACACCCAUUCACCCCUCCACAAGAAACAGCCAAAACGUUUAGUCACUGAACAGGCACCCAAAAAGCAGCCACCAGCAGCAGCAGCAGUGGUAGGGGUCAGCACUUCAGCAGCCAAAACAAACCCACACGGCAAACCAACAAACAAAGCCAGAAACGAAGACCCUUUUCUUUCUUUUCUUUUUUUAGUUCAAAAUAAAAAGCGGGAUUAGGGUCGUUUUAGGUUAUUUUUAUUUUUAGUUGAAGUAAACAGUUGACAGAGGGAGAGGGGGAAAAAUGGUGAACCCAAGAUGUUAUUUGGACAUAAGUAUAGGAGGAGAACUAGAAGGAAGGAUAGUCGUGGAGUUGUACAAGGAUGUUGUGCCUAAAACUGCUGAAAAUUUUAGGGCUUUGUGUACUGGUGAGAAAGGCAUUGGACCUAAAACUGCUGCGUCCCUGCAUUACAAGGGUGUGCGCUUUCAUCGCAUUAUCAGAGGUUUUAUGAUACAAGGUGGGGAUAUAUCAGCUGGUGAUGGAACUGGGGGAGAAUCCAUUUAUGGCUUGAAAUUUGAAGAUGAAAAUUUUGAGUUAAAACAUGAAAGAAAAGGAAUGUUAUCAAUGGCUAAUACGGGGCCUAACACCAAUGGGUCUCAAUUCUUUAUUACAACUACUCGAACAUCUCAUCUCGAUGGAAAACAUGUGGUUUUUGGGAAGGUUAUAAAAGGAAUGGGUAUUGUUCGUUCUAUCGAGCAUGUUGCUACUGAAGAUGGUGAUUACCCCGCUCAAGAGGUUAUAAUUGCAGAUUGUGGAGAAAUUCCUGAGGGGGCAGAUGAUGGAAUAUCUAACUUUUUUAAGGAUGGUGAUAUUUAUCCUGAUUGGCCGGCUGACCUUGACAAAAAACCAGAUGAAAUUUCUUGGUGGAUGAAGGCAGUAGACUCUAUCAAAGCUUUUGGAAAUGAGCAAUACAAGAAACAAGACUAUAAGAUUGCUCUUAGAAAAUAUUGGAAGGCUUUGCGCUACUUGGAUGUCUGCUGGGAGCAGGAGGGCAUUGAUGAAGCAAAGAGCUCUGCAUUACGAAAGACGAAGUCUCAGAUAUUUACAAAUAGUUCUGCCUGCAAGUUGAAACUAGGUGAUCUAAAAGGAGCAUUAUUGGACACAGACUUUGCGAUUCGUGAUGGAGAAGAUAAUGUGAAAGCUUUCUUUCGCCAAGGCCAGGCAUAUAUGGCACUUAAUGACAUAGAUGCUGCAGUUGAGAGCUUUAAAAAGGCAUUGGACUUAGAGCCAAAUGAUGGUGGAAUAAAGAAAGAACUUGCAGCUGCAAGGAAGAAGAUUGCUGAUAGAAGAGACCAGGAGAAAAAGGCAUACUCUAGAAUGUUUCAGUAGAUCUAUAGCCAAAAUUAUGGCCGCCUUUUGUCUAAAAGGAUCAAUUUUGGGUUUUUUUUUUGCAUAUAUUGUCAUUAUCCAGUCAUUGGAGUUCUUCUGACUAUAGUCUGGCUGACUUUUGGAAAAAUCAGGCUUUAGUGUAUGCUAAAACCUGCCGCCAGGUCUCUUUUCAGGAAAUACUCAAACUGGAUGAAUUAAAUUCAGAACUGUCUUUUAUUUCUUUUUGUUUCUGGUCAAGCAGAUGUGACAUUUUAUUCCCUGCAGAAACUGUUUUUU